UACGUAAGUGGCAAGCGUUAUCCGGAAUUAUUGGGCGUAAAGAGCGCGCAGGUGGUUAAUUAAGUCUGAUGUGAAAGCCCACGGCUUAACCGUGGAGGGUCAUUGGAAACUGGUUAACUUGAGUGCAGAAGAGGGAAGUGGAAUUCCAUGUGUAGCGGUGAAAUGCGUAGAGAUAUGGAGGAACACCAGUGGCGAAGGCGGCUUCCUGGUCUGUAACUGACACUGAGGCGCGAAAGCGUGGGGAGCAAACAGG
rnacentral:rRNA from 1 species